rnacentral:rRNA from 1 species
UACGGAGGGUGCAAGCGUUAUCCGGAUUCACUGGGGUUAAAGGGUGCGUAGGUGGGUUGGUAAGUCAGUGGUGAAAUCCCCGAGCUUAACUUGGGAACUGCCAUUGAUACUAUCAGUCUUGAAUACCGUGGAGGUCAGCGGAAUAUGUCAUGUAGCGGUGAAAUGCUUAGAUAUGACAUAGAACACCAAUUGCGAAGGCAGCUGGCUACACGGAUAUUGACACUGAGGCACGAAAGCGUGGGGAUCAAACAGG